rnacentral:lncRNA from 1 species
ACGACAUAAAGAAGGAUAGAAGUGACAUAAACAUUUGAUUUAAAGUAAGAAAAAGGUUGGAAGAUGGAAGAAAGGAAAGAUGGUAGGUAGUCCUUUAUCCUAUAAGAGUGGAAGAAGGAGUGUAAAAGAAAACAAGAAAGAGAAAGAUUGGAAUAUGUGAGUAGCAGCGGGAAUGAGAUCAAGCGUUGGUGAGUCUACAGGUACCAACAAUUGUGGGUAUGGAUCUAUGGAUGAACGUUCCAAAGCUAACGACAAAGGGAAAGGCGGGAUUAUCAGUGAUGAAGGCAUUGGUAAGUAAACGUGUAGCUUGGACAGGACUGAACCCGCGAAGGAGGGAGCAGCAGGAAGAAGACGGGGUUGGGACUUCUGAACCAUCCAACAAACUCUCACAUGCACUCAACCCAUUAGGACAUGUCUCACACCUCACCACUGAGACUGAUACCAGACUCAGAGAGAAGAAGACUGCCAAAACAUAUUUCAUCCAACCCAUUGAUCACACCUAAUAAUUAUCACAACACUGCUUCCUUACUUUUUUU